UGGGCAGCCCUAGAAGGUGAAGACUUCUGUUUGUCCACAGCACAGGAAGAGAGGCACUGCAAGCCUCCCUGCUUUGCCGUGUCAGCUCUCUGCAGCCCUGAUUUAGCAGGAUCACAUAAGGAGCAGGAGGAUGUCCGUGCCCCUUCACACCUUCCUGGCAAAGGAGCUG
ensembl:misc_RNA